CCACGUGUAUGAUGAAAUAAAAUGUUGGUAGGGACAUCUGAGAAAAAUUGAUGAGUACCAACAGUUCUGAUACGUGUGU